UACGGAGGGGGCUAGCGUUGUUCGGAAUUACUGGGCGUAAAGCGCGCGUAGGCGGACCUGCAAGUCGGGGGUGAAAGCCCGAGGCUCAACCUUGGAACUGCCUUCGAUACUGCGGGUCUCGAGUCCGGGAGAGGUGAGUGGAAUUCCUAGUGUAGAGGUGAAAUUCGUAGAUAUUAGGAAGAACACCAGUGGCGAAGGCGGCUCACUGGCCCGGUACUGACGCUGAGGCGCGAAAGCGUGGGGAGCAAACAGG
rnacentral:rRNA from 1 species